CUCUGACCAAAUUGCCAAUCACAGUUGGAGUGCCUCGAGUGUAUAAGUGUGUGUUUUUCCUGACAGGAGUUUAGAGAUUAGACUCGAUCUACAAGACAUCUUAGUCAUCCUGUACAGCAUGGAUGGUGCUCUAAAGAUUUUGCUUCUGGCAACCCUGAUCCUGCUGGUUUCUGCUCAGACUUUUGGUAACUAUAGAAGCUUGUCUAAUGACUUACGAACACAGAUAGACAAGGCUCUGAUAAAGGCACAUCAAGAAAUUGCAAAGAAACAACAUGUUGCUUUUUUUUCACUGCAAGGAGAACCAAAGCUUCAGGAGGAUAACUUGUAUGUAAACGUCAUUCUGCAAAUCACAACAUGCCCGAAAACUUCAAACAGUCCAUAUCAGCACCGAGAUGAAUGUUUUACACGAAAAGAAAAUACACCGCUAAUUGAUUGUGUUGUAUGUACGACAAAUGAUGGUAAAGAACUGGUUGACUGUGCCUGGAGGUAUGAGGUCAUAAAUAAACGACCAGAUGCACGAAAUAAUUGUGGUAAAUAUUUAGUUGGAGGUUCUGUUGCCCUUCAGAAAUCUAAUGAUAAUAAGGAGAUUGGAUGUAUUGGAUGUUUUUAAAGUUGCACGAGUCUCAGCAGCACAAAUUCUAAACUAUAUUCUAAAACUGUAAAACACUACAUUUAUACAAGUGAAAACUGAUUUGCUUACAUGCAAAAUUGGGGUUCAAUGCCAUUCAGUGUAGUUUAUGAAGUUGUAGGCAAACUAGGUUCAGCUUUUUGAGAUCAUGUUUAGCCGUGAUUACAUACAGCAUUUAAUGAAGCACAUUACAGAGCAUUUUCUGACUUUAGGCUUUUCUUUUACUACAUUUAAAAUUAUUCUUGUGUGAUUUCCUCCCCAACCCCAAUCCACACACACUUGUUCAAGAUUACACCUAAUACAAAAGGUAUACCUAAUACAAACUAACCCACACUUUGAUCUGAUACUAAUUACUGUCAACUUGUAGUUAUAUACAGAAAAAGUAGUUUUCUCUUCUGAUCAAAAUCAACUACAUAUUCUAAAUGUGAUGCAGCAGCAGUGCUCAAAUUGGGGGCGUUAGGGACCCCCGAUGAGACUAAUGAGACCUGAUAGACUUAGGGGGGGGUCCCCAAAAUUAUUUUAUUAAAAAAAUAUGUGAAUUACACAACAACUGGGGACCCCGCAUAAAACUUGACUCAAUUCGAGCACUGUGCAGCAGCAUUUAACAACCAGUACCUGAUAACAAAAUUAACCGAUUACUCUUCAACAUAUAACUUUUGCUGCAGCACAAAAUCUGUGCAACAAGUUUGUGUAAGAAAAUAAUAUGUAUCUAGCAAUGUUGUACACAUCUUUAUACAAUCUCACUGUUUUUAACAUAAGCCAAGCUUAAUAAAAAAAUAAAAAAAUAAAAAUAUUUUAAACAAAAUGUAAA